rnacentral:rRNA from 1 species
UCGAGGGGUAUUGGUUUUCGGACCAAGAGACCGGCGCACGGGUGCGUAACGCGUAUGCAAUCUACCUUUUACAGAGGGAUAGCCCAGAGAAAUUUGGAUUAAUACCUCAUAGUAUUACGACUCGGCAUCGAGAUGUAAUUAAAGUCACAACGGUAAAAGAUGAGCAUGCGUCCCAUUAGCUAGAUGGUAAGGUAACGGCUUACCAUGGCAACGAUGGGUAGGGGUCCUGAGAGGGAGAUCCCCCGCACUGGUACUGAGACACGGACCAGACUCCUACGGGAGGCAGCAGUGAGGAAUAUUGGUCAAUGGGCGCAAGCCUGAACCAGCCAUGCCGCGUGCAGGAUGAAGCAUCUAUGGUGUGUAAACUGCUUUUGUACGAGAAGAAACACUCCUACGUGUAGGAGCUUGACGGUAUCGUAAGAAUAAGGACCGGCUAACUCCGUGCCAGCAGCCGCGGUAAUACGGAGGGUCCAAGCGUUAUCCGGAAUCAUUGGGUUUAAAGGGUCCGUAGGCGGUUUAGUAAGUCAGUGGUGAAAGCCCAUCGCUCAACGGUGGAACGGCCAUUGAUACUGCUAGACUUGAAUUAUUAGGAAGUAACUAGAAUAUGUAGUGUAGCGGUGAAAUGCUUAGAGAUUACAUGGAAUACCAAUUGCGAAGGCAGGUUACUACUAAUGGAUUGACGCUGAUGGA